CACCCAAUCCCCCUUCUCCCCAGGCCCCAGCCCCCACCAGACAAACCCUAGCCUCACCAAGCCCCACAUCUCGCGCUCCUCCCUCCUCCAUCCUCGUUAGCCGCCGCCGUCGUUCUGCCUCCCUCCUCUCUCUCCUACAACCACGCCGCCAGGAGGAAGCCGUCGUUCGUGGCGCCAUGCCGCUGCCGGGGUGUUGCACACGCAUCGUUCCCCAUAGCCCCUCCCUCAUCCUCGCUCGUCACCACCGCUGCAUGCUACUCCCCUCCACCAUCGUUGGUGCUUCUGGGUUGAAUCUGGCGUUGGUGGGUCGGAACUCGAGAUAGAGGUCGAGACGGGGAAGGUCAGAAAAAUGAGAGACCGGAUGGAGGUGCUCGAGAUAGAGGAAGCUGGAGAUGGUGAGAUCCCUCUCCCCAUAUCUAUUCUCUUAGUUUUUCCUCUUCAAACCUUCAUUGAUGGUCUAUCUCCCUCAACACAAUUAUCUUCAUUGUCCAUCCGGUGGUUGGAGCACGGGGCAACGCUCUGGUCGCGAUGGGGUUGAGCUGCGCAGGAGGGGGAGGAGGCUGGCGACAGGGAACCGGGCCAGGGAGGAGGCAAGGAAGAACGCACAGUCUGCACUGGGAUAUUAAUUUCCUUUCAUGGGAGGCCUUCAUUACAUUUCAGCGGCAGUUGCGGAUGUGGUCGGUGGUUGAGGGAGGGUCUCCGACUAGAGCAGCAGGAGCAAGGAGCUCGAGGAAGUUCAGGUUUAUGGCUUCUCACGGAUUGUGAUUCUGGUCAUGCUGCCUGUUAUGAAGGCUGAGGCGAGCAUCAUGGAGAUGAGCAGGCGAGUGGCUGAUACAGAGAGCUCCUCGAACAGGGAAGAGGCAUUGCUGGAGGAACUCGAAGAUGAGCUAGUCAAUUUUGGCAUGUCCAGUUCAUGUAACCUUUGCAUCUUUACAUAUCUUUGCCUUACUGCCAUUUUAUUUUUGCUGCUUUGGGGUUAGGUUCCGAAGUCAUGCCUUUGCCUUGCUAUUGUGCUGAUAUUGGAUGCAACAUUGUGGACCUUUGGUUCGAGCAUGGCCAGCAUGGCCACGGAUUGUAGGGGAGGAAUGUAUUGCCUAAUGAGUUGUAUGCUUUCUUCGGAUCCUCUGUGCUUCCUAUCACAUCUAUCUUGGCCACCUACAAAUUCUUGGGUCCAGGUGAGCUCUCCCUCCACUCUCCAAGUUUGGCUUGAUCUUUCUGGGCUAUUUGUGUAGGCUAGCCCCUUUCCUAAGUCUCUUAUUUUAUUAUGGAUCGUGGAAGCGGGAAGUGUAACUCACAUUUUUAGAACACUGAUCCUUUAGGUAUAUAUAGUUUGGUUUUCUGAAAGUGGAUUGCAUUUGCUUCCUGAUCACAUUGAAACAAGAGUGGAAACAACCAUCGUCCGCCGUCCGUUAUUCCUCCCUUAGGUUCCUGAUCUGAAGUGGAGGGAACACGAGGUCACAUCCGCAAAGUGGCGGAAGGGGGCUGCAACGUUUUUCUUCAGUCUGAUAAUCAUAUAGUAAUUAGACGGUGUAGUACUAUGGCGGUGGUAUACUGAUUUGGUGUAAGAAUCACUAACAUGACUUUACUUGUACAAAUCUUACAGGUUAAUGGUAUUAAGAAUUAGUAGCGUGUUUUUUUGUUUACUGCUGGAUUUGCUAACAAGUUGUCUCUUGUGUUGUUGUUCAUAUGUUGACUUGCUAUUUUUUGUUCAGUUGAAGGGUUCUCCAGGCUUAAGAUCUUUCUAGGAUAAUUGCGUCAUUGAAUCUGAAGAUAUUUGAUUGGUUUCUCAACUCAUGUAUCGAUAAGCAUUUUUUCAUCCUCAAUAUAUUGUUACUUACCUAACUUGUCGUACAUUUGUGAGGUUUCUGAGGAAGUUCACUUCUUGCACGCGGCGUAUAACUUGAGUUGCCUACAAAUGAUUUUGCCAGUUCGACGAAAACUUAAAAUAACCAAGGGAAAUUUCUCAGUUUUGUUGUUCUUGCUCUUCUCAGAUCUUAGGUUGGGGGUAUUAACAUAUAUGCCACACACUAAGUUUAGAUCUUAGUGUGAGAUUAAAUAGGGAUAAAUCCUUGUGCCAUGUUGAAGAAUUAGAAUUACAAAAAAGAAAGGAAAUAUUAAAGAAGGGAUAUGGUUGAUUAGGUUAUUUUGGUGUUUCUUUGUAAAUAAUGACAUGCUAACUUGCUGGUUUAAUUUAGGUGUGUGGAAUAUAGGAAAUACAAGGAGAGAUAUUCAGUUGCAAUCCAGCUUUAUUUUCAAAGUGAAACAUGGUAUACAUGCAUAGCAUGCUGGUCUUUUACUCUAUAGUUGUGUGUCGCCAUGGUGUCAACUUUGAACUUGCAAACUGAACUGUAAAAUGUUUUAAUGCCUUGGCGCAUGAAGUUUUCUUUGCCUGCUCUGACUACUUCAUUUAUGUUUAUUUAUCAGGUUAUGCAAUCUCCUGUGUUGCUGCAUGUUGAUCUUCUGUUUUGUUGUAACUCUGUUUUGCUGCUCGAGGACAAUUUCCUGGAUUAAUAUCUAUACUGGAGAUCUAGGAGUCCACCCGAAUUCAGUCUCCAAGAAGCCGUUCAUCCAGGAUCCACCAAAAUUCAAAUGAUAUGUGAAAAGUGUGUGCUAGAUGUGGCCCCUAUCCAGCGUUUUGAUUUGUCCACUCAGGUGCUUUUGUCUAGGUGGUAACACAACAAGUUGCUUAUCUUAUAGAAACUUAUUAUACAUACAGUCAUAUGUUCGUUCUGCUUGCAUGUUAGAGAAAGAGAUUCUGCCCCUAUGUGAGUAAUCCUAUGGGAAUUAGCAAUGUUGGUUGUACUUUCAAGCGGGCUGAAUCCAAUGCAAGUUUUUGGAGCAGUUGGGUUCCAGAACAAACGACUAGGUAUUCCCAAAGAGGUCAUUCCACUGGUGGCUAGCAUAAUACCUUCAUGUCGGGACAACGAUCCAAGCAAGCAACCAUCAUUCUACCAGCUGUUGUCAUCGUUGAAGAAAUUACAGUGGUUACAUUGUUACAGAAAGCCUAUGACAAUUUGCGAGUGUUGUUUGUGAAAUAUACUGGUUUUAUGGGAGGUGCAUGUAUGAAUUCAUAUGGUAGUGGUCUCCUUGUUUACAGUUAUAAGAAUAAUAAAAAUAUUGAUAAUGGUCUUUCCACUA